rnacentral:lncRNA from 1 species
AAAGGAUUCUAUCUGAAUAAUAUAAUGAUGACGUUCAGCAAACUCAUCUCCUUCAUAGAAUUGAACAUAAGCACCCUAGUAAACAAUAUGCUGUAUUGUACCAAACCCAAAGAUGCGAUGAAUGCAUCUAAUUUACAAAGAGAGGCAAAUCAUGCAAUGCUUCUGUACCAUCGCCUCACUAUCUUAUUCAUCACUGGCACUGUAUUUUCAAAAGUUUAAAUACUUUUCUCGGAUACAAUACCCUAAGCCUACGCCAGAACAGCUUCAGGUUCAGGAAGUCUGCCACUGCUUGCAGGUACCAAACUAUCAUAAUAUUCAACCAACACCUUCCAUCCACCUGGGCACAUAAAACCUUCUGGCGGAUUCUCUUUGUUCUUCGCUAAUGUUCUCAU